UACGUAGGGUGCAAGCGUUAAUCGGAAUUACUGGGCGUAAAGCGUGCGCAGGCGGCUAUGCAAGACAGAUGUGAAAUCCCCGGGCUUAACCUGGGAACUGCAUUUGUGACUGCAUGGCUGGAGUGCGGCAGAGGGGGAUGGAAUUCCGGCGUGUAGCAGUGAAAUGCGUAGAUAUGCGGAGGAACACCGAUGGCGAAGGCAAUCCCCUGGGCCUGCACUAACGCUCAUGCACGAAAGCGUGGGGAGCAAACAGG
rnacentral:rRNA from 1 species